GCCGGUUUGCAGUGAUGCGAUUAAAAGGGAAUCGUGUGAGAGUCACGAACAGUCCCGCUGCUGUAAAUCUCGAGAAACCAUGCCGAAGGAGGCUGACGGUCAUGCCGUCGGCCUGCGGAUUAUCCACUGACCGAGCAAGAGUGCAGACGUCGGGAAGGAGGUCAGGUUGAAAGUGUCAUAACACACUCUACGAGAUAAGUCAGAAGACCUGCCGGUGU
rnacentral:ncRNA from 1 species